rnacentral:snoRNA from 1 species
CUGCAGCCAAUUAAGCUGACUGGCAGCCUUUCCCCAUGGGAGCCCAGCAGACAGCAUCCUCCCUGGGAGUAUACAUAGCUUACUGCUUGUAUGGGUUGCACUAAUGGAACUUGUAGACAGCC